ACCGGAAACGGUGUCUAAUACUGGAUAUGAGCAUCCUGCGCAUGGUGGGUGUUGGAAAGUUUUUUCAGUGGGGGAUGUGCUCGCGGCCUAUCAGCUUGUUGGUGAGGUAAUGGCUCACCAAGGCUUCGACGGGUAGCCGGCCUGAGAGGGUGACCGGUCACACUGGGACUGAGACACGGCCCAGACUCCUACGGGAGGCAGCAGUGGGAAUAUUGGACAAUGGGCGGAAGCCUGAUCCAGCAACGCCGCGUGAGGGAUGACGGCCUUCGGGUUGUAAACCUCUUUCAGUACUGACGAAGCGCAAGUGACGGUAGGUACAGAAGAAGCACCGGCCAACUACGUG
rnacentral:rRNA from 1 species